GGGAGACGAAGCCAAGAGGGGGGAUCCCAGGCUGACUGCACUGAAUUUCCCAGGCAGUGCCCCCUUCCCCUACGCCCGCCGCCACUCGCCUGGUUGGGGUCAGUGGCCCGGAAGACGUGGCAGGCCAUGGGGGAGUCGGGGUUGUCGGGCUGCGCCUUGAUCAGUCAACAUUUUUCAGGUGUCUUUCUGCACUAGAGUUCAGUGUGGGUAUUCGGAAGUCUACAGGGAUGCUUCUCCAUAUGCAUCCUGAUCUUCUGUCUACCAGGAUGAACAAAGCUGAACAUGUGUUCACAAACACUGCAGAGUUGGCUUCAAAGCGAAGAAAUCUUCACAGCAAUGCAAGGAUGAUGCCGAGCAAUUCCUGUC
rnacentral:lncRNA from 1 species